rnacentral:rRNA from 1 species
CGUGCCAGCAGCCGCGGUAAUACGAGGGUGGCAAGCGUUAUCCGGGUUUAUUGGGCGUAAAGAGCGCGUAGGCGGUUUUAUAAGUCUCGGCUUAAAUCCUAUUGCCCAACAAUAGGACCUGUCAGGAUACUGUAAAACUAGUGGAUAGCAGGGGUAAGCGGAAUUCCCGGUGUAGGAGUAAAAUCCAUUGAUAUCGGGAGGAACACCAAUGGCGAAGGCAGCUUACUAGGCUAUUUUCAGACGCUAAGGCGCGAAAGCGUGGGGAGCGAACGGGAUUAGAUACCCCGGUAGUCCACGCCGUAAACUAUGCUGACUAGCUAUCAGGAGAAUCGACCCUUCUUGUAGCGAAGCUAACGCGUUAAGUCAGCCGCCUGGGUAGUACGGUCGCAAGACUAAAACUCAAAGGAAUAGACGGGGGCUCGCACAAGCGGUGGAACAUGAGGUUUAAUUCGACAACAAGCGAAAAACCUUACCGGGGUUCACCCCAUCAGAAUCCCGCAGAAAUGUGGGAGUGCCCGCAAGGGAGCUAAUAGGUCGGUGGUGCACGGUUGUCGUCAGCUCGUGCCGUGAGGUGUCCCGUUAAGUCGGUCAACGAGCGCAACCCCUAUCCUGUGUUGCUCCGAUGUCAUGUCGGAGCUCUCACUGGAGACUGCCUCGCCCUAUGGCGGGGAGGAAGGCGGGGAUGACGUCAAAUCAGCGUGUCCCUUAUGCCCUGGGCUACACUCGUGUUACAAUGGUCAGCAACAGCGGGUUGCAAGCUCGUGAGAGCAAGCUAAUCCCUGAAAUCUGGCCCCAGUUCGGAUUGUAGGCUGCAACUCGCCUACAUGAAGCCGGAAUCGCUAGUAACCGUGGAUCAGCACGCCACGGUGAAUACGUUCUCGAGCCUUGUACACACCGCCCGUCA